AUACCGUCUGUGUUUGAGUUUUAAAUAUGAAUGCUGGUACUGGAGUGGUUUUAUUGCAUGGCUCAGAACCCCCUCCGGUCCCCGGGCCUCCUCUACUCGCUGUCCGACUUGGCGUCCUUGGACCCGGCGUGGUUGUACAGUCCCUGCGCCAUGAGAUGCAGCGCCAGAGCGUUUUUAUUCCCGGUGGCUUUCUUGAUUUUGGCCCGUUUGUUCUGAAACCAGAUCUUGAUCUGAGACUCGUUAAGGACAAGAUCCAGGGCGAGGCUCUGCCUCCGCUGCUCGGUCAGGUACCGGUUGUUUUGGAACUCCGUUUUUAACCGAUGGAGCUGCUCCGCGGUGAAGGCCGUCCGGGGCCGCUUGUCCUCUUUACUCGGGGUCGGGUCCUUCUUUGGCUUGCGGGAUCUGGGCCCUUUGGUGAGGACAAAACACAUUAGGAUUAUGAACAGUCUCUGAUCACAUUUAGCUUCAUAUAGGCAGACUUUACUAUCAUCAUAACUUAUAUAAAUAUAUAUCUAUUUUUAGUUAUUAUUUAUAUAAUAACUUUAGUUAUAUAAAUAUAUAUGUAUAUAUAUAAUAACUUUAGGUAUUAUUAUAAUAACUAAUAUAAAAUAAAAUAACGAAUAACUUGAGUUAUUACGGUAUAGGUAUUCGGUAGUGUGACUGUCAGGUUAAUGAUAACAUGGUGUUGCAAUGGGAAUGGAAUACAAACGUCAUUGUUAUAUUUAUUUUAUCAUCAUAAUGUCUAAAGAACCACUGGGCGUUUGGCGAGAAAGUGUUUGAGGUCAAUAAAUAAUUUUGCUAGGUUUUAACUCAAUAAUAAAGUUAUGGAAUGUAUAACAAUUGAAAUGUAGUUGUAGGUAAGAAUGCGCCUUAAAUGAUUUACUAUCGCAUCAGCUAUAAGGGUUCGUUCUGACUUUUCUUGAUCGCACUGAAGUUGUCUACUUCUUGAUAUAUUCUAUGAGACUUCAUUUUUUGGUUCUACCUGUGCUAAAAUAUUUAAAGAGGAGGUUAUGUCAAUCUGAAGGGAAAUAUUCUGAGAUAUACCUCCUGGUCAGAACUUUUCAUUCCAACCUCAGGACUGAAAUGGAGUUCUAACCCGCCAGGCUGCAGCUGCAUGUCCUCCAGCUCUGCUGCAGACUAAUGAGAACGGGAGGAGGGGUGCAGAUGGGGGUGGGGUUAGGAUAUGAUGGAGGAUGGGGAGUAAGGCGCCUCUUUCCCUCCUGUUACCAUAGGAACUCCAUUUGUGUAAUACUUUCCUAAAAAGAGCGUUGUUUCUGUUCUAAUAUGCAGAGGCUUGUUUCCUGAUACUAGCCCACCUUAACGGCAGAGUCCGAGUAGCACCCAUCCAACACUUCCACGUGAUGUCUUAUCCCAUCAAACAGCCUCCCUGACCUCUCCAAGGGCCCUUUGUGAGAAGAAACGCGGCCCGGGCCUCGAUGCCAACUUUCUGUGUUUUCCAUCCAACAAAGACACGAACAUUUGGUUUGGAGUUCUUAAGCUUCGUGCACAUCUCGUCCCUGCGUGCGGCUGCUGGCUGCUUUGAGACCCGUUAUUGAAACAAGUCCACUUCCACGGAGCAGCUUGAACCCGAGGUGCUGCCUCUCGGAACAUGGCCAUGUUGUCAAAAAUCGUUUUCUAUUUCGUUGGCGGGUGAAAUACUUUGAGCUUCUCUCAGUCUUUCACAUCGAAUGCUGCUUUUUUUGGGACACACGGCCCUCACUUUUUAGACCCCCCAUUGUCAAAAAAUAUGCUAAUGGUACAUCAACAAAGAAGACUGAGGAACAAUGGCGUUAAACUUGGUUUUACUUCACUUCUCCAUAUUUUUCAUUUUAUAUUUGACUCGUAUUUCAUUUGAAUUUCAUUUUCACAACCGCCUUCGACAGCAGCGGGUCGUCUCGUCACUUUAUCUUCAUUUAAAGGCGAAAUCUAAAUCCACUUCCACCCAAAACAACUGCAAUGACUUUAUAAUCUUCAAUAAAAUAGUUUGUUUUGUGUCAAA